CACGCGGAGUGAUGGGCGUGUAGACACGCCGCUCUCAAGGUCCCCUGCUGGGCCGUCCUGUGACCGCCAGUGCCCAGGGUGGCUGAGGCCAUGGGGCUGGUCCUCUGGCUGCAGGCAGCUCUGACAGUGCCCCCACCUCCUGAGUCCUGUGCACAGCGUGGGCCUACGAGGUAAACCUGCUCAAGGAGCCCAGGCCCACACCGUGCUCUGCCCGGCUGCACUUCUUCCGCUUUCUGUCCUUUCCUAGUGUUAAAUGCUUGGGACCCUUUGUGGAAAGCAAAUCUUACAAAGAAGCUAAAUUCAAAAGGACAUUGCUUCCCCACAACUUGUGGUACCUCCUGAGGAGGCCCUGGCACCUGGGGGGCUCGGGAAGGACAGUCUGAAAACAGUGAGAGGCACCAGGCUGACGAGGCAGCCGGGCACCGAUGGACCCCCAUGGUGGGGAGCUGGAGAAGCACCAGUCAGCGGGUCUCUGGGGGCCGACCUAACAGGUCCCAACUUCUGGAGACUCUGGGGCAUCCUGAGGAAGUUCGGGGGGCUGGUGAGGGGGCACCACUGCGUGGGUCAGGCUGGUGAGAGGCCAUUAUUUCACCAAAGAUGCUUAAAACGUGGAAGGCAAGAGUAAGGCUCUUCGAGGGUCAGAGAAGAGCAGCAGGCAUUGGGGAGCGGCUGAAACCCCAGAACCAACCUCAGGAUGGUCUCGCUGGUACAGCAGUUCUCAAAGGGGAUCACGUAGCCAACCUCGUGGCCAAUGUUAACGUCCAUCUCAUCUGCGACCCGCAGGGCGAGCUGGACCGCAGUCUGCUUGUGGACCUGCGUGCACACCACGCCCCCGUGCUGGUAGUGGACGGAGAGGCAGUACUCGGCGCACCACUGAGGCACCUGGCGGGAGAGACGAGGCGGUCAGCGGGCGAGGAAGCCGGCAGCUAAAGGAAGGCUCUUCUCACGCCAGUGCACACCCGGCUACUCCGCUCAGCGACACUGGAAAUCAGGAAAUUAUACUCAUUCGGCUUUCAUCAUUUGCUUCUUGUGACAAACUGAAAUCUUUUGUCAUCAAGUCUUAAUAAGCCCUCGCUAUCUGCAGAGUGAAAAAUAUGAAAAAUGCCUCCUGUUCAGCCCCACUUCCCUCAAGCUACAUUUAAAACAAGUGAGUGCAAGAGGCAUAGACAACUUGGAAAGAGCAACACAGAAUGAAGAGUGUUCUAUCACCCCAGCUCAGUGACCUGACACUAACGACAAAUCGUCACCGUUUUCGUCAUCUGAAAAAGGAACAGCUUCCCCAGCUGCACCAGCCAGCAAGCGCCUCUUGGUGGACACGGCCCUCAGACCCGGAUCUGCUAGCACGCCUCUUAAAAUAGAAUAUGUGCAUCGAGAUAAUAUAACAUCAUUAUUCAAACAGAAAGCUGCUGGUGACACAUAAUGAUUAAGGAUCAACAAAGCCGAGGUGGCAGCAGGUCUUGCCAUGGAGGCCACUCACCUGAGAGCUCUUGCCGCAUUUAGCAUCUCCAGAAAUGAUGACAACUUGGUUUUGCAGCAGGUUCUCCAUAAAGGAGUACUUUUCUUUCCAUAUUGGAAGCUCCUCCCUCUCUUUCAGAAGUUUAUAGUAGCGCGAUGAAUACGGCAAACCGUCAAAGGGGUUGAGCUCCAGGUCCUCGCAGGCCAGGACCCCCUCCUCUUCCCCAUCACUGGAGUCCAGGGACUCAGGAAAAUAGCGUUUCUCAGGGGAAGCGUUAGAACACCCCAGUGCUGCCUCUUCCAUCUUGUCCGGCAGCGAAUGGAUGCAUCUGACGCGGGCCUACUGAGUGUGUCGUCCUGUAACCCCUGCACGCAGCGUCACGCAGCCCCUGCACCAGCGUGGAGGCGCAGGCUUCGGAAGUGCGAAGUGCGCGGUCUCAGGCGGUGCCACUCCUCAAACCUGCAUCUGUGCUUCUCUGCCCUGCGGGCUCACCUGGCACCUCCCGACGUUCAGUGACUCAACCACACUGAAAGACAAACAACAGGAAAAUCAGGUCCCCAGACUAGAAGAUGUUAAAAACACAAAGCCCAGAUGAUCAAAACAAAAGCAGUAUUUUUUCUCACUGGCUGGUGUCCUCCCUUUCUGUGGCCCGUUUAAAAGACC